GAUGAAGAACGUAGCGAAAUGCGAUAAGUAAUGUGAAUUGCAGAAUUCAGUGAAUCAUCGAAUCUUUGAACGCACAUUGCGCCCGCUAGUAUUCUGGCGGGCAUGCCUGUCCGAGCGUCAUUUCAACCCUCAAGCCCCCGGGCUUGGUGUUGGGGAUCGGCGAGCCUCCGCGCCCGCCGUCCCCUAAAUCUAGUGGCGGUCUCGCUGUAGCUUCCUCUGCGUAGUAGCACACCUCGCACUGGGAAACAGCGCGGCCACGCCGUUAAACCCCCAACUUCUGAACGUUUGACAUCGGAUCAGGUAGGAAUACCCGCUGAACUUAAGCAUAUCAAAAGCGGAGGA
rnacentral:misc_RNA from 1 species